rnacentral:rRNA from 1 species
UACGUAGGGGGCAAGCGUUGUCCGGAUUUACUGGGUGUAAAGGGUGCGCAGGCGGAUCUGUGAGUCAGAGGUGAAAUCUCACAGCUUAACUGUGAAACUGCCUUUGAUACUGCAGAUCUUGAGUUCGGGAGAGGUUGAUGGAAUUCCAGGUGUAGCGGUGAAAUGCGUAGAUAUCUGGAAGAACACCAGUGGCGAAGGCGGUCAACUGGCCCGUAACUGACGCUCAGGCACGAAAGCGUGGGUAGCAAACAGG